AUACAACUUCCUCCUUGACUUCCUAUGAAGAAGGCAACGAAAAAUCUCAACCAUUGUCCUGAUGAUUUGUACUCUCAGUUCGGAGAACCCUGAUAAUAGGUUUUUAAGAUCAAUUAAUCGUAAAGCACUAUCAUGUCGUUCUAGUAUUGAAGGUUGUCAAUCCAAAUGGGUGUGAUGCUAACAAUCAAGAUGCAAUCAGAGUUCACAGAGUCAAGCCAAGCAAUAACAGGUUUUGGUGUUUCUAGCAGUCCUAAAUGAACAUGUAGAAAACCGAAAAUCAAGCAGAAACAAAAAGACACUCGACCAACACAGCUCGUCGUAAAGCACUGGGUGUGGUCGAGUGACUGGUCGAGUAACAAGUAGUCAAUAAAACAAAGAUACUCGACUGUAGAGUUUGUUGCCAGACAACUGGGUGGUCGAGUAUCGGGUCGAGUAACAGGAAAGAAUUGUAGAAACUAAGCAACAGGUGACAAGAUGCAGUAAACAACAUGCUCAAUAAAUUAUCCCUAGACAAUAAGUUCGGUAACCAAAUCUAAGUGCCACCGCAAUAGAGAUCCUCAAGUUAAACUAGUCCCAGACUCAAUCACCAUUGACGAGAGCUAGCCUAACAGGCAUUACGAAUCAACAAGUUAAAGCCAAAACGCUCCUUGUAACCAAUACCUUGGUA
rnacentral:sRNA from 1 species